GGGUUGUGAGGUUAAGCGACUAAGCGUACACGGUGGAUGCCCUGGCAGUCAGAGGCGAUGAAGGACGUGCUAAUCUGCGAUAAGCGUCGGUAAGGUGAUAUGAACCGUUAUAACCGGCGAUUUCCGAAUGGGGAAACCCAGUGUGUUUCGACACACUAUCAUUAACUGAAUCCAUAGGUUAAUGAGGCGAACCGGGGGAACUGAAACAUCUAAGUACCCCGAGGAAAAGAAAUCAACCGAGAUUCCCCCAGUAGCGGCGAGCGAACGGGGAGCAGCCCAGAGCCUGAAUCAGUGUGUGUGUUAGUGGAAGCGUCUGGAAAGGCGUGCGAUACAGGGUGACAGCCCCGUACACAAAAAUGCACAUGCUGUGAGCUCGAUGAGUAGGGCGGGACACGUGGUAUCCUGUCUGAAUAUGGGGGGACCAUCCUCCAAGGCUAAAUACUCCUGACUGACCGAUAGUGAACCAGUACCGUGAGGGAAAGGCGAAAAGAACCCCGGCGAGGGGAGUGAAAAAGAACCUGAAACCGUGUACGUACAAGCAGUGGGAGCACGCUUAGGCGUGUGACUGCGUACCUUUUGUAUAAUGGGUCAGCGACUUAUAUUCUGUAGCAAGGUUAACCGAAUAGGGGAGCCGAAGGGAAACCGAGUCUUAACUGGGCGUUAAGUUGCAGGGUAUAGACCCGAAACCCGGUGAUCUAGCCAUGGGCAGGUUGAAGGUUGGGUAACACUAACUGGAGGACCGAACCGACUAAUGUUGAAAAAUUAGCGGAUGACUUGUGGCUGGGGGUGAAAGGCCAAUCAAAC
rnacentral:rRNA from 1 species